UACGUAGGGUGCAAGCGUUGUUCGGAAUCAUUGGGCGUAAAGCGCGUGUAGGUGGCUUAUUAAGUCGAUUGUGAAAUCCCUGGGCUCAACCGAGGAAGUGCAGUCGAAACUAGUAGGCUAGAGGAUAGCAGAGGAAGGUGGAAUUCCCAGUGUAGAGGUGAAAUUCGUAGAUAUUGGGAGGAAUACCGGCGGCGAAGGCGGCCUUCUGGACUAUUCCUGACACUGAGACGCGAAAGCGUGGGUAGCAAACAGG
rnacentral:rRNA from 1 species